rnacentral:rRNA from 1 species
AGAUUGAACGCUGGCGGCAGGCCUAACACAUGCAAGCGAGCGGUAGAGAGGUGCUUGCAUCUCUUGAGAGCGGCGGACGGGUGAGUAAUGCCUAGGAAUCUGCCUAGUGGUGGGGGAUAACGUUCGGAAACGGACGCUAAUACCGCAUACGUCCUACGGGAGAAAGCGGGGGACCUUCGGGCCUCGCGCCAUUAGAUGAGCCUAGGU